rnacentral:lncRNA from 13 species
AGCCUUCGUGUGGUACCGAACCGUGGGGCAGCGCACGGUGGGCCGAAUGGGGCGCGGGGCUCUGCGGUGCGCCUUGGCUUGUCCGGCCUUGCGUCUACGUAUCUUCCGGGCCGGCGGGUUGAACCACGUGGCCACGCGCCGCUGCCAGUGCUAGUGGAAGUGGGGCUUCAAGAUGAUGUCGUUCCGGCUGGGCGCCAUGGCUGCCUAGGGCCCUGCGGCUCCUGCUCAGGACAACAGCCGAGCCGAAAGGAAGCGGCGCCGCAACGCCUAAACUACAAAUGCAUCCGCUAUUUGAAAAGCAAGCCCAGGAAACAACUGACAAACCAAACAAAUCUGAGAGGCUCAGCAUACACAUUUUUCUCUUCUAGAAGCUCCAAAGUGCUAAUACACCAUUUACAUUUAAAUCUGGUGACAUUCAAAUGUAGAAAGCCAAUGAAAGGGACAGAGGUGGGAGCUCUACGUCUAGGCCAACUGCCCACGAUCACAGAGCUAGCAGUUAAAGAAGCUGGAAGGACUCAAUACACAUCAAGCAUCCCUCCUCCAUCUUGGAGCUCUGGCCCCUGGGAGUCAGGAUCCCCAGCAUCACUACAGCAAGGGAAGAAAGAGACAGAACCAGCUCAUCUAUUGCCUCUACCCAGAAGUGACCCACAUCAAUACUGCUCCUAUGCCACGGGCUAGAACUAGUCACAUGAACCAAUUUAAUUCCAAGGUUACUACCAAGCCCUAUUGUAGUGGAUGCUAUGGAGUCACCAAGCUUCCUCCUCCAGGAUGGCACUGUUUCCUCAGCUGUCAGGAGUGCUGCCUGCUGACUACUCACAGCUGAGUGAGGAAUGAGCCUUAAUGCAAUGAAGAUGCCUCACCUAGAUGCACAAAGUUAUGCACUCUCCCUGUGGGUGGAUUGCACCCAAUGGCCAGUUGAUGUGGGGGUGCAGAGGACUGUCAGCUGGGCUCAAUUCAAUCACUCGAAAGGGUCAUCCCUGCUCUAAAGCACCAUGAGGGUAGAGCUGAAGCUUUUGCUGCAACUGCCUUGCAGUUCAACUUCUCCCUCUACCUGUUCCUGCUGCGCUUCCUCCCUCAAAGACACUGUUGAGGCUUCUGCAUGCAAAUCUCUGCCUCACAGUCUGUUUCCCAGGGAACCCAAUCCAAACCCUUCCAUUUAAUCUGCUAUAAUAGUUAAUAAAGGAAUUUACAAUGUCUCCCA